rnacentral:rRNA from 1 species
CCUACGGGAGGCAGCAGUAGGGAAUAUUGCUCAAUGGGGGAAACCCUGAAGCAGCAACGCCGCGUGGAGGAUGAAGGUUUUCGGAUUGUAAACUCCUUUUGUUAGAGAAGAUAAUGACGGUAUCUAACGAAUAAGCACCGGCUAAUUCCGUGUCAGCAGCCGCGGUAAUACGGAGGGUGCAAGCGUUACUCGGAAUCACUGGGCGUAAAGAGCGCGUAGGCGGGAUAGCAAGUCAGAUGUGAAAUCCUAGGGCUUAACCAUAGAACUGCAUUUGAAACUGUUAGUCUAGAGUAUGGGAGAGGUAGGUGGAAUUCUUGGUGUAGGGGUAAAAUCCGUAGAGAUUAAGAGGAAUACUCAUUGCGAAGGCGACCUGCUAGAACAUAACUGACGCUGAUGCGCGAAAGCGUGGGGAGCAAACAGGAUUAGAUACCCCUGUAGUC